AACGCACCUUGCGCCCUUUGGCUAUUCCGAAGGGCAUGCCUGUUUGAGUAUCAUGAACACCUCAACUCUCAUGGUUUGCCAUGAUGAGCUUGGACUUUGGGGGUCUUGCCGGCCUAUGGGUCGGCUCCUCUCAAAUUAAUCAGCUUGCCAGUGUUUGGUGGCAUCACAGGUGUGAUAACUAUCUACGCUUGUGGUUUUCCAUCAGGUAACCUUCAGUGAUGGAGGUUCGCUGGGGCUCAUAAAUGUCUCUCCUCAGUGAGGACAGCUUUUUUGAACGUUUGAUCUCAAAUCAGGUAGGACUACCCGCUGAACUUAA
rnacentral:misc_RNA from 1 species